AUCUAGCUCACGAGUCCAAAAUAGGACGAAAUGCUCAUCCUGGAU
rnacentral:hammerhead_ribozyme from 1 species